rnacentral:lncRNA from 10 species
UAUUUAUUUACUUCCUCUACAGUUUUCCUGACUGCUACAUUUCAUGAGAAGGGAUUGUUUAUGAGGGUCAAGGAGCUGGAGGCCUGGGGAGGAGCUGGUGUUUCUGUUCAAGUUUGAGGGUCCUGGAGCUGGAGUCCAGGGGAGGAGCCGGUGCUGCCACUGAUGUCUUAGGGUCGUGGAGCUGAAGAUCCCAGAGGAGCCGGUGCUGCUAUUCUAGCUUGAGUUUCGUGGAGCUGGAGACCCAGGGAGAAGAUGGUGCUGCUGUUCUAAUUUAAGGAUCGUGAAACAGAAGACCCAGAAAGGAGCUGGUGCUGCCGCUGCUCAGAUCUGAGGGUGUUGGAGCUGGAGACUUAGGGAGGAGACGUCUUGUUCUAGUUUCAGGGUCGUGGAGCUGCAGACUGAGGCAGGAGCAUUGUUGUUAUAGUUCGAGGGUCAGAAAGCUGGCGACCCAGGGAGGAGAGGUCUUGUUCUGGUCUGAGGGUCGUGGAGCUGCAGACCCAGGGAGGAGCAAUUUUGUUGUAGUUCGAGGGUCAGGAAGCUGGCGACCCAGGGAGGAGAGGUCUUCUUCUGGUGUGAGGGUCGUGGAGCUGCAGACGCAGGGAGGAGCAAUUUUGUUGUAGUUCGACGGUCAGGAAGCUGGCGACCCAGGGAGAGGUCUUGUUGGAGUUUGAGGGUCGUGGAGCUGCCAACCCAGGGAGGAGCAAUUUUGUUGUAGUUCAAGGGUCCGGUAGCUGGCAACCUGGGGAGGAGAAGUCUUGUUCGAGUUUGAGGGUCGUGGAGCUGCCGACCCAGGGAGGAGCAAUUUUGUUGUCGUUCGAGUGUCAGGAAGCUGGCGACUCAGGUAGGAGAAAUUUUGUUCUAGUUUCAGGGUUGUGGAGCUGCAGACCCAGGGAGGAGCAAGGUUGUUGUAAUUCGAGGGUCAGGAAGCUGGCGACCCAGGGAGGAGAGGUCUUGUUCUGGUCUGAGGGUCAUGGACCUGCAGACCCAGGGAGGAGCAGUGUUGUUGUAGUUUGAAGGUCAGGAAGCUGGCGGCCCAGGGAGGAGAGGUCUUGUUCUAGUUUGAGGGUCGUGGAGCUGCAGACCCAGGGAGGAGCCAUGUUGGUUUGAAUGUUGUGGAUCUGGAGAUCCACGGAGGAGCUGGUGCUGCCUUUGAAGUCUGAGAGUCACUGAGCUGGAGAUCCAGAGAGGAACCGGUGUUGCUGUUCUAGUCUGAACAGAUCUAGAGUUCUGGGGAGUUGCCGGUUCUGCCUCUCAAGUCUGAGAGUUGUUGAGCUGGAGAUUCAGGGAGGAGCCUGUGUUGCUGUUGUAGUUUGAGGGUCAUGGAGCUGCAGACUCAGGGAGGAGGGGUGCGGUUCUAGUCUGAGGGUUGUGGAGCUUGAGACACAGGGAGGAGCUGGUGCUGCUGUUGUUUAAGGCUGAGGGUUGUGGUGCUGGAGACCCAGGUAAGAGCUGGUGCUGCUGUUGUUUAAGGCUGAGGGUUGUGUAGCUGGACAGUGGGGAGGAGGUAGUCUUAGUGUCUAAUGUGAGGUUGGUGGAGCUGUGGACCUGGGGUGGGGCCGGUGCUACUGUGUAGUUUGAGGGUCAUGGAACUGGAGACCUAGGGAGGAGCUGGUGCUACCACCAUUUAAGUCAGAGGGUCAUGGAUCUGGAGCUUUGGGGAACAGCCCAUGCUGCUGUUUAACUGUGGGGAGGAUGUGCUGUGUCCAUUGAAGUUUGAGGGUUUGGGAGCUGGAGACCCAGGGAGGAGCUGAUGAUGCCAUUCUAUUUUGAGGGUCGUGGAUCUGGGGACCUGGGGAGAGGCUGGUACUGCUGUUGUAGUUUGAGGUUCGUGGAACUGGAGACAGGGGGAGGAGCCGGUGGUGCUGUUCAUGUCUGAGGGUUGUAGAGCUGGAGACCCAGGGAGAAGCCCGUACUACAGCU